GAUCCUGGCUCAGGAUGAACGCUGGCGGCGUGCCUAACACAUGCAAGUCGAGCGAUCUCUUAGGAGAGAGCGGCGGACGGGUGAGUAACGCGUGGGUAACCUGCCCUGUACACACGGAUAACAUACCGAAAGGUAUGCUAAUACGGGAUAAUAUAUAAGAGUCGCAUGACUUUUAUAUCAAAGAUUUUUUCGGUACAGGAUGGACCCGCGUCUGAUUAGCUUGUUGGCGGGGUAACGGCCCACAAGG
rnacentral:rRNA from 1 species